rnacentral:ncRNA from 1 species
UCCACCGCGAUGUGGAAUCUGAAGGAAGCCACCGGCAAAUCUCUGGUCUGAGGAACACGAACUUUAUAAGAAGGCUAGCGUACGUUGGAUGAGGUUGCCAACCAAACCUAGAUCCUUACUGCCAAAGGCGUGCGAGAGUAAAUGAAGCAGAUAAAUGGAGAGGAAGAUAGCGUU